UACGUAGGGAGCAAGCGUUGUCCGGAAUCACUGGGCGUAAAGGGUGCGUAGGCGGGUCUUUAAGUCAGGGGUGAAAUCCUGGAGCUCAACUCCAGAACUGCCUUUGAUACUGAGGAUCUUGAGUUCGGGAGAGGUGAGUGGAACUGCGAGUGUAGAGGUGAAAUUCGUAGAUAUUCGCAAGAACACCAGUGGCGAAGGCGGCUCACUGGCCCGAUACUGACGCUGAGGCACGAAAGCGUGGGGAGCAACAGGGAUUAAGAAACCCUUG
rnacentral:rRNA from 1 species